rnacentral:rRNA from 1 species
CGCUGGCGGCGUGCUUAACACAUGCAAGUCGAACGAUGAAGCCCUUCGGGGUGGAUUAGUGGCGAACGGGUGAGUAACACGUGGGCAAUCUGCCCUUCACUCUGGGACAAGCCCUGGAAACGGGGUCUAAUACCGGAUACCACUCCUGCCUGCAUGGGCGGGGGUUGAAAGCUCCGGCGGUGAAGGAUGAGCCCGCGGCCUAUCAGCUUGUUGGUGGGGUAAUGGCCCACCAAGGCGACGACGGGUAGCCGGCCUGAGAGGGCGACCGGCCACACUGGGACUGAGACACGGCCCAGACUCCUACGGGAGGCAGCAGUGGGGAAUAUUGCACAAUGGGCGAAAGCCUGAUGCAGCGACGCCGCGUGAGGGAUGACGGCCUUCGGGUUGUAAACCUCUUUCAGCAGGGAAGAAGCGAAAGUGACGGUACCUGCAGAAGAAGCGCCGGCU